UUUUGUGUAAAACAGAGGAGUUGGUGUGUCCGCUGGUGAAUAACACAUCGCACUCUGUGUCUUGUUUCAGAGAACGGGGCAUUCCACACGGACAUUUGGCAGAUUUACCCAUGGUGUGUUGUCAGUAUGAGCUUUACUCCAAUUCUGUUGUUUUCUAUCAUAUUUCUCCAUUCUUUUCUUAUCUGUCAAAACCCAAGUAAAGUAGCUUUAACCCUUUUUUUUCUCCUUUGUUUCGGUUUGUGUUUAGCCUUCGACUGCAUGUGCUUCACUUUGAUUUAUUCCUCUAAUAUAUGAGAGUUGCUGUUGUAGAACAUCUAUAUUGCUCUCUGUGUAUGUAUGCCCUUUUUUUUUUUUACUGCUUGACUGCUUACAACAAGAGGGGGGGGGGUUAUUAUUUUCCAUCCACCCACACAAAGCAGUGUUUUUGUAAUCACACUGUGGCUUGCAUGCAUAAAAAUCCUUGAGUGAAUAAUGUCUGGCCAAGGUGGUUUAUUAUAUUAGUCAAUAUUUGAGCCAUGCACAGUCACAUCUGAGCUGCACUUGACUCCAAAUCAUGUUUACAUUAUAAUUCAGGCUAUAUAUAUCCCCCCCCAUUAUGAAAUUGCUGAGUUGAUUUCCCCCUUGCCUGGUGGAUCUACAUACCCACACCCCUGACAACACACACACACACACACACACACACGCACGCACGCACACACACACACACACACUGCUGGCAAUGUAAUGAGUUAUUGGUGACUGUUCAUGUUACACUGGCUUUCUCGUCAUCAGGCAGACCCUCUGGAUUUAUCUAAUCAGGAUUCUGACUUGAUGCGAGGCGCAAUGAUGAGGUGCAACCCGUUUUGUGGUUGUCGUCCGCCUCCCUCACGAGCCCUCUAAACCCGUAAACACGUCUGUGUCGGCCGCCCGGCGGUUUGGCUGGCGAUAUUUAGACUCGAAUGGGUACGAAGAGGAUUGGUCGUGUGGGUGAGCGAGAUGGUGGUUUCCAUAGUAACGGUGCUCUCCCGUCUGCCCUCUCUUGCUGCCACUACGGAAGCGAAGUUUUCCGCUCCUGCCGAAAGCAAAGCUAUGACUCUGAGGCCACAGAGGAUGAGACCACAGAACCUCAGAUGGAAACCAAAGAGGGGCCCGGGAGGCACCAAGACAAGUCUGGACGGAGAGGACCUCCAGGUACUUCAUAUAAACUCUCUCCGAUUCUUUCUUUUUUUUUUUACAGCUUCAGCACUCGUCUUUUUCCCCUUUUUAAAUUGACGUACUUUCAUAGCAGC
rnacentral:lncRNA from 1 species